rnacentral:pre_miRNA from 1 species
AAUGUACUCCCUCCGUUCCAAAUUACUUGUCGCACGUAUGGAUGUAUCUAGAUGUAUUUUAGUUCUAGAUACAUCCAUUUUAGCGACGAGUAAUUUGGAACGGAGGAAGUAGGAA